AAGAUGGGAGAGAGAAUCUUGGAAGCAUUUGUGUCUGCCAUUCCAGGCUUUCUUAAGGCUGGGUUACAUACCUGUGUUUAGAGGUUACAAAGAAAGCAUCCCCAUAGCGGUAACAUAAAUUUCCUGUUUGCUCCCAUUGACUCAGAGGAUUCCUGCUAGUCUUGAAUCUCUGCUCCCUUACCACUUGACCAAGUUCUCUGUAGCCUACGGGAACGACAACUUCUGGCCUCCACUCUGGAUACAUUUGUUGAUUAUCCACAGAGAGUCAAACCAAACUAAAAUUUACGGUGCUGUGCACUGGGGCCUCAGAUUGCCCCACACCACUCAGGGAGAGAGACAGACAGAGUGACAGGCAGGCAGGCAGGCAGACAGGUGCCCCUCUGGCCUACUCCCAGGAAGCAGGGGAGAUGGCAGGGUGUGUUUAAGGGGGAAACACGGUGUGUAUGUCCUUUGAAGAAAUCAUUCAACAUUGACACACAGGAAAGGUGGAAGGUCAGGAGGAAGCAGAGUUCUGGUUCACCGGGCGGUUUAUUCCACCACCCUCUCCAUGAGUACAUUUAGCAUCACCUCGUGCAAAGGCCAGAGAGAUCAGAGUCCAUGGCUACUUGAAGAGCUCAGCAUGAGAGAGGCAUACAUGCUAUCUUCAGAAUAUGAGAAAGAUUUAGCUAGAUGCCUGUAACUGCCCUCUGAAGAGCCACGUCUCCGCGUGUACAGCCUUCCUUUUAGAAGACGUGCAAAAUGUGAAGGUUCCUGCGCUUUGCCGCCAGGGGCUGCUCAGUGUGGAGAUGGCUCCGUGGACCCACCGCCGUGAGACCAGGCAUGUCUUCACCAGCCUGUACAGUGCCAUUCUGCAGCCCUCCUCCACCUGCCGACGCAAUGGGUAAUAGGAAUGCCUCUCACCACCUCGCGAUUUGGGACAUUUUUCCAAGGCCCACUUCCAGAGCCUUCUGGAUCUUCCCCAUCAGGUGACGAUAUUCCGCAGACCAAGAAUCUGGCCACAUGUUCCUCCUUAAUACUUUCCCAUGUUAGCUGAAUUCCACCGAAGUUAACAUUCUACAGGGCACUGUUAAGGUGUGACCGCAAGUGACCCAUUUUCCACUUUCGCUCACCUA